AGACCCGAAACCCGGUGAUCUAGCCAUGGGCAGGUUGAAGGUUGGGUAACACUAACUGGAGGACCGAACCGACUAAUGUUGAAAAAUUAGCGGAUGACCUGUGGCUGGGGGUGAAAGGCCAAUCAAACCGGGAGAUAGCUGGUUCUCCCCGAAAGCUAUUUAGGUAGCGCCUCGUGAAUUCAUCUCCGGGGGUAGAGCACUGUUUCGGCUAGGGGGCCAUCCCGGCUUACCAACCCGAUGCAAACUGCGAAUACCGGAGAAUGUUAUCACGGGAGACACACGGCGGGUGCUAACGUCCGUCGUGAAGAGGGAAACAACCCAGACCGCCAGCUAAGGUCCCAAAGUCAUGGUUAAGUGGGAAACGAUGUGGGAAGGCCCAGACAGCCAGGAUGUUGGCUUAGAAGCAGCCAUCAUUUAAAGAAAGCGUAAUAGCUCACUGGUCGAGUCGGCCUGCGCGGAAGAUGUAACGGGGCUAAACCAUGCACCGAAGCUGCGGCAGCGAACGUAUCACUUAAAGCGAUUCAGCGGGUU
rnacentral:rRNA from 1 species